rnacentral:rRNA from 1 species
AGGUGGAGAAGAGAACUAAACAGGAUUCCCUUAGUAAUGGCGAAUGAAUUGGGAUCAGUGCAGUGUCAGAAUCAAGGCUUGCCCUUGAAGUGUAGUCUCAAGAAGUCAAUGCCAACGAUGGGCUCAGGUGUAAGCCUUUUGGAAAAGAGCACCAGUGAGGGUUAGAGUCCUGUCACAUCAUCUGGCGUCCUUCGUGCCCGGCAUGGCUUCUGCGAGUCGUGUUCUUUGGGAUUGGAGUGCAAAGUGGGUGGUACUUUUCACCCAACGCUACAUAUGUGCUCGAGACCGAUAGCAAACAAGUACCAUGAGGGAAGGGUGAAAAGGACUUUGAAAAGAGGGUUAAGAGUUCAUGAAAUUGCUGAAAGGGAAGUGAAUUGAACUUGUGCUCCUGGCAAGGUUGCCUGACGCUACUGCGAUACCUCGCUGCGAGAGCAGCUUGGCUGGAGUGGGAUGUGCCAGGUGCUUCUUGCCGGAUGAUAUUAAUGUGUGUGUGGAUCAGGGGAAAGGUUUGCGAGUGUGGCCCUCCGGCUGCGGGCGGGGCAAAGCUUGCAACGACUGCCCCCAUCUGGACACAGCCUUCGGCAACCAGGCAACAGCUUGGUGCUUCUAUUGAUAAUGCGGUUUGGUUCGCCCCGUCUUGAAACACGGACCAGGAGUCUAGCGCUCGUGCAAAUCAUUGGGUCGUGAGCCCGUUGGUGGAAUGAAGGUAGCGACUUGGAUCUCUGCACCAGUAACCGACUGCUCUUUUGCGAAAUGUUUGAGUUUGAGCACAACUGCUAGCACCCGAAAGGUGGUGAACUAUGCCCGAGAAGUGCAAAGUCAGGGGAAACUCUGAUGGAGGCUCGUAGUGAUACUGACGUGCAAAUCGUUCGUCUGACUUGGGUAUAGGGGCGAAAGACUAAUCGAACCACCUAGUAGCUGGUUCCCUCCGAAGUUUCCCUCAGGAUAGCUGGAGUUGGACAGUUUUAUCAGGUAAAGCGAAUGAUUCGAGGAAUUGGGGGCGCUCUGCCCUUGACCUACUCUCAAACUUUCAAUGGGUACGUCCAAGCACUUUCUUUGUUGAACUGCUGGAUUGAAUGACAACUCUAAGUGGGCCAUUUUUGGUAAGCAGAACUGGCGAUGAGGGAUGAACCUAACAAGGGGGUAAGGUGCUAGACUACUCGCUCAUGAGAUACCACAAAGGGUGUUGGUUCAUUUAGACAGCAGGACGGUGGUCAUGGAAGUCGAAAUCCGCUAAGGAGUGUGUAACAACUCACCUGCCGAAUGAACUAGCCCCGAAAAUGGAUGGCACUUAAGCGAGUGACCGAUACCCGAUCACUGUUGCAUAACCAGCAUCAGUGAGUAGGAGGGCGUGGUGGCUGAGAUGAAGCCCUGUUGUGAAACGGGGUGAAAGAGCUCCC